GACGAACGCUGGCGGCGUGCCUAAUACAUGCAAGUUGAGCGCUGAAGGUUGGUACUUGUACCAACUGGAUGAGCAGCGAACGGGUGAGUAACGCGUGGGGAAUCUGCCUUUGAGCGGGGGACAACAUUUGGAAACGAAUGCUAAUACCGCAUAAAAACUUUAAACACAAGUUUUAAGUUUGAAAGAUGCAAUUGCAUCACUCAAAGAUGAUCCCGCGUUGUAUUAGCUAGUUGGUGAGGUAAAGGCUCACCAAGGCGAUGAUACAUAGCCGACCUGAGAGGGGGAGCAGCCACAUUGGGACGGGGACACGGCCCAAACUCCUACGGGAGGCAGCAGUAGGGAAUCUUCGGCAAUGGACGAAAGUCUGACCGAGCAACGCCGCGUGAGUGAAGAAGGUUUUCGGAUCGUAAAACUCUGUUGGUAGAGAAGAACGUUGGUGAGAGUGGAAAGCUCAUCAAGUGACGGUAACUACCCAGAAAGGGACGGCUAACUACGUG
rnacentral:rRNA from 1 species